CUAGUUAAAGGACAGAUCCUGAGAGAGUUCAUGGAAACCUUGGUAACAGGACCCAAUCCUUUCUGCAUCGAAAGAACAGUCCAAUUCAGUUGGGCAUUCAGUAUCACAGGGACUGGGAGAGUAGUGAGGGGUGGAAAUUUCCUAACCAAUGGGGAAUGAGCAGUAGUGGAUGGGAAGAAGUCUGCCGAUGACAGAAGGUGGCCUCAAUGAAAAAGCCAUCCAAUGAAGAGUCUCCUCGGAGAGACUCCUAGUCUCUGGCUUCUAACCAGUUGACCAUCAUGGCCAACAGAGAAGGAGGGAAGAUGCACUUAAAUGAAUCCAUCAUGUCCUUGGUAAAGGUUCCUUCUCUGCUAAUGCUAAAUAAAGCUCAUUUUGUUAACUGUUA